GACGAACGCUGGCGGCGUGCUUAACACAUGCAAGUCGAACGGUAAGGCCCUUCGGGGUACACGAGUGGCGAACGGGUGAGUAACACGUGGGUGAUCUGCCCUGCACUUCGGGAUAAGCCUGGGAAACUGGGUCUAAUACCGGAUAGGACUCCGGACUGCAUGGUCUGGGGUGGAAAGCUGUUACGGUGUGGGAUGGGCCCGCGGCCUAUCAGCUUGUUGGUGGGGUGAUGGCCUACCAAGGCGACGACGGGUAGGCGACCUGAGAGGGUGACCGGCCACACUGGGACUGAGAUACGGCCCAGACUCCUACGGGAGGCAGCAGUGGGGAAUAUUGCACAAUGGGCGCAAGCCUGAUGCAGCGACGCCGCGUGAGGGAUGACGGCCUUCGGGUUGUAAACCUCUUUCAGCACCGACGAAGCGCAAGUGACGGUAGGUGCAGAAGAAGGACCGGCCAACUACGUGCCAGCCGCCGCAGUAA
rnacentral:rRNA from 1 species